rnacentral:rRNA from 1 species
UAGGGAAGAACCGUGGGUAUAGCAAAUGAUACCCACCUGACGGUACCUUUGGAGGAAGCACUGGCUAACUACGUGCCAGCAGCCGCGGUAAUACGUAGAGUGCAAGCGUUGUCCGGAAUUAUUGGGCGUAAAGGGUACGCAGGCGGAUAGUAAAGUCAAGCGUGAAAGGUGUCGGCUUAACCGACAGACUGCGUUUGAAACUGAUUAUCUUGAGUGUAACAGAGGAGAGUGGAAUUCCUAGUGUAGUGGUGAAAUACGUAGAUAUUAGGAAGAACACCAGUGGCGAAGGCGACUCUCUGGGUUAACACUGACGCUGAGGUACGAAAGCUGGGGGAGCAAACGGGAUUAGAUACCCCGGUAGUCCCAGCCGUAAACGAUGGAUACUAGGUGUUGGAGG